rnacentral:lncRNA from 1 species
GCGCUGUGGAACCGCCUCCUGCUAGAGCAGCGGGCUGGCGACGGUCCUCGCCGGGGCGGGAAGCGGCUCAGGCUGCCCUCGCUGGCCUGCGGCGGCGCGGCUGGAAGCGCGGGCCACUCGUGCGUGGGUCACUCAGGACUGCGCCUCGCGCGACUGUGUGUGCAGGAAACAAGCAGGAAAUACCCUAAAAGAGAAUGAAGCGCCAUGUUGAGGGUCGCGGACGUCGCGAGUGCUGUGGGAAUGUGGGCUGAGGUGGAGAGUUAUGGUAGCCCGUGUUACAGGCUCAGGGGUCUGAAAGAAGCCUAAUCGUGGAGGCGGCAUCUGAGGAGGGUCUUGAAGGCUGGGCAGGCAUUUGCCCGACAGAGAUGGAGGAAGCUAGUCCUGUCUGAUGGAGGAAACAGGGCGGAGGCGUGGAGGGAGCCGUGCAGCGCUGGUGUGAGGAGCAGCGAGCAGGCCAGGCCUGUAAAGCAGAGUGAGGGAACCAGGAUAGAGAAGGCAAGUCGGGGUCCUGUGGUCGCUGAAGAAUUUGAAUGAAAUCAGUAAACAGGUGAGAGGGAUCCAUCGCAAGAGCAUGGGAUGAAAGGAGGAGUAGUCCACGGUGAUUCCUCUGCAGCGGUGGGUGUUAUUAAUCGCGUAUGUGACACCAAAACCACCCCACUCAAGCUGUGGCUCUUUCCCUAAAGUAGAAAACCGAGACCAGUUGGGUUCCAAGCAUCCACGAAGAUCUUAUUAAAUUCGUGAUCCCUGGUGGCACCAUGGAGUCAGGAUUGGCUCAUCUCAAACCUGACUCAGAAACAAAACCGUCACAAUGUGCAGAGAUGAGCGUCCUUACCGCUAUCAACGUAUUUUCUGGUGUUUUCACAGUGCUGCGCUUCCUAAUCCCCAUUCCAUGGCAAUCCACAUGCCAUGAUGCCCGGAGUCAUUAACAAAGGAGACACACAGGGGCUCCUCACGUUGGCUUUCCAGGGUUUUGAUGAAAAUCUGUUUCCUCGUCUCAUACAAUGUGGCUGUACAGGAAGCAUGGUGAUGGCAUCUGCAUGGCGCCUGUGGAGGCCCCAGGGAGCUUUUACUCAUGAUGGAAGGCACAGAGGGAGUAGGCACAUCACAUGGUCCGAGGAGGAGCAAGAGAAAAUGGGAGUGGGGAUACUGCAUAGUGGAUGGAUUAGUCUGUGGUUCCUGGGAUCUUCUGUGUAUUCUGUUGAAGCUCAAUAAUCACAUUACUGCGGACCUCCAAAAUUUUACAAAGGACUGCAUAGCUUUGGAUUCACCUUGAAAACAUCCCCUCUGAACAUCAGAAGUCCACUUGGUCCCCGAACAGUGUAUUAACUUCUAACAUUUCUGACUUCCAGUCAUGGAGAUUUCAAAACCAAUUGCAUAUAGCAAUGAAGCUUUUCACUUUUAAUGGAACAUUUAGGAGAAGGGCGGCUUUUCCUAUUUUCU